CGUAGGGUGCGAGCGUUAAUCGGAAUUACUGGGCGUAAAGCGUGCGCAGGCGGUUAUAUAAGACAGAUGUGAAAUCCCCGGGCUCAACCUGGGAACUGCAUUUGUGACUGUAUAGCUAGAGUACGGCAGAGGGGGAUGGAAUUCCGCGUGUAGCAGUGAAAUGCGUAGAUAUGCGGAGGAACACCGAUGGCGAAGGCAAUCCCCUGGGCCUGUACUGACGCUCAUGCACGAAAGCGUGGGGAGCAAACAGGAUUAGAUACCCUGGUAGUCCACGCCCUAAACGAUGUCAACUGGUUGUUGGGUCUUCACUGACUCAGUAACGAAGCUAACGCGUGAAGUUGACCGCCUGGGGAGUACGGCCGCAAGGGUUG
rnacentral:rRNA from 1 species